rnacentral:rRNA from 1 species
AUGCAGUCGUUCUUGAUGACGGCUGAUGAGGAGCAGAGCCAGAACAAGGUGCUCACCACCUGGGUGCAGCAGAUUGGGGUCCUGUCCUACAAAGUGGAGGACAGCCUCAUGGAUUUUGGCCUCCUGUCCGAGAAGAAGCCAUAUUUGGGGUGCAUCCCUCGCAGCCCAGGUGAUCGACGACGCAUCGCCAAGGAGGUGAAGCAGCUGAGGGCCGAGGUGGAGGACGUGAGCAACAGGAACCUGCGCUAUCGCCUCAUCAAGGAGAGCUCAGGCUCCAAGCCUACCAUGGCAGAGGAGCAGGCCAGCAUUGCUACUGCGGUAAUGUUUGGCAUCAACGAAGCAAGGCUUGCUGCAUUGGAGCAUGAAGAUUCAUCAAAGGUGGACCUCCAUCAGUUGAUUUCCAGCAAGGAUGUGGACCUUAGGGUGAUCGCCAUGUGGGGUAGUAGCGGUGAUCUUGGGAAGACGUCGGCCAUCCAGGAGAUUUAUGAUGACCCAAAGGUAUUGCAAAGGUUUGGCUUCCAUGCUUGGAUUAGGCUGAUGCAUCCUUUCAAACCACAAGAGUUCCUCCGGAGCUUGGUAAGGCAAUUUUAUGAAAAUUCACAUGAUGAGUUUGGAAAGCCAUCUUUCAGUCCACAAGAAUUUCUCCAGAGCUUGGAAAGGCAAUUUUAUGAAACUUCCUAUGAUUACGUUGGAAAGCCAGAACAACAAACAAGUGUUGGGGCUGUUCUGGCCAAGAUGGAGAAGAUGGAUCAAAGUGAUUUAGUCUGUGUGUUUAAUGCACUGUUGUGUAGCAAUAGCUACCUGGUUAUCAUAAAUGACCCGUCCACGAUAGAAGAGUGGCAUUGCAUUAGGAAGUACUUUCCUGACAACAAGAAACAAAGUAGAAUCAUUGUUUCCGCGCAGCAAAUUGAAAUUGCGUGCUUGUGCACAGAGAAACCGUACCAAGUUUCUGAGUUCAAGCAGUUGUCAUGUGAUCAAACUAUUUAUUUGUUCCACAAGAAGAAUUCAGUGGGGCAGGUCAACAUGGGCAGUGUUAGUGUUGCAAUGGUUGACAACGAUGACGAAGCAAAGGCUCCUACUGUGGAGGAGAAACUGAAGGUUAAGCGAGCAUCAUGUUCUGCCGAGCCUAUUUCCUACAGAAACAAAGUUACUAUCAGUGAGGCAAACACAUCAUUGCCCAACGAUGAAAUACAGGAGGAAGACCAAGAACCUAACAUUGCAGGUGAAAACAAAAUUUGUAACUCAACUGCUAGAAAGAAAUUUGAUCGCAGCAGGACACUGGCACUGGCUGAUUAA